UUUCGACUUCCUCGCUCAAAGAAAUAAUUAGAGUCAUUGGAUCUUCCAAUUCGCGUGACGCCGUCUCAUCCCCUUCCUUACCCAUCGAUUGCCGCCGCCGCCCACCCACCGCCGCCGCAGCAUCCAUCGCCGUCCACCCUCCACCGCUCCACUAGACCUCGCCCUUGUCCUCACCGCAGCGCCGACCCUCUUCCUCGACGAGCACCCCACGGAAGUGGAUGCGCUCGUUGUGGCGGCCGCGCUAGCCAUGGAGCUCCACGGGUUUACUUGCAGCGAGGCGCGGUCGUGGCUCUCGCCGGCGCUGACUGCCGGGAGGGGCGCAGGAAUGGCGACGGGGGGCACGGAGGAAGACCCGGUGGUCGCCUGCUCUGCCACCGGCGACCACCUCCCCGAGCUGCUGCCACCGGUGGCCACGUACCAGACCUGCUCUUCCUCACGCCCCCAACCUGCUCCUGCCCGUCAGGCGCGCAGCUGCUGCACGGUUGGGUUGUUGUUGGAGACGGAGAGGUUGAGCGGGAGGAGAUGCUCAGCUCACCAGCGGGUGGCGACCAAGGCCGCGCUCUUGCCGGCGCAGCUGCCACGGCAUGCACCCUGCUGCUCGGGCCGAAAGGGGGGGGCGAGCAACCCUGCACCUGCGUAGCUGCAGGACGUUUCAUGCCUGGUGCUACUGCUGUCUGUCUUCAUCGACAUGGUUCUGCCUUUGGGAGAGGCCAGGUGCUUCAUGUCAUCAUGUGGCAUUCUUCUCGGCGCCUCUACUCUGCAUUGUGUCAUGCAUGCACGGUUAAUCCAACCUUCCAGGAUCUUGCUCACAGAUCUUAAUGGUCCAGAAGAAUUUGCAUACCUUGAAAAGUUGAAAUACAGUACUGGGCAGUAUCGUUCAGUUGCCUCAGUGUGCUAGCUUUCUUCUUUGGCCAUCUGCGCCAUUCUACGAACAAUGGAGUUUCUAAAACUUCGAAAUAUGAUUCAUUGAUGGUAGUUUUAUAUCUCAUGACAUUCUUGGUCUUCCUAAUGAAGACUGAUGGAGGUCUGUUAAGGAUGGGGAAAACCCCCAUCUUCUCUUUCAUGGUGUGGCUGAUGUCAUCUUAAUCACGCACAUUCUCGAGAAGUUCCCUUCAUGCUCAUCUUUUGCAGACGCACUUCUGGUAUCAACUGGUCUCGUCUUUUACUUUGACGGAGUUCUCUGCAUCAUCGGAAGCACUCAUUCUCACACCUGGAACUCGAAGCGGGACAGCCACAGUUAUUCAGGCGUUGAUCUGGGUCGACACUAGACUGACUUCAGGCCACCUGACAGCAUGCAUGGCCAAAUCAACUUGCUGCUGAUGGUCUGGUGUUACACUCUCCUGCUGCUCAGGAUGGACAAAUUUUAGGAACUCUUCUUAUCGGCCAACUGUCAAGCUGCUGGAGCUAGGCCAAGGGAGUAGCGCCGCUAGUUCAAGGCUGGAGUUUCAUUCCAGUAUUAGAAUAGGACUACAUGAGGUACACAUAAGUAUUAGAACAGAACUGAAGGAUGCACUCUCUCGAAGACACAAUCAUUGUGAUAUUUCUAGAUCAUCCAGGGCACUAGGAUCGUCGUGGACGCCAGGCCCUUGUGCAUUGGCUUCGGAGUGUUUUGCCUUGUAGUUUGCUACCACUCGAGGAGGGAGGCCUUAUCGGCAGGUGGUCUGAAUGUCGUCCGCAGCCAAGACAAGAUCUCAUGCCAGACAAGCCGUGAGAAUGGGCAUGCAAUGAUGAGGUGGUGCAUUGUUUCCGACACUUGGUCGCACAAAAGGCAUCGUGGGUGAUGUUGCAGUCCUUGUCGUGCCAGCCUUUUAGCCGUCUAGCACCUGUCCUAAUUGGCCAGCCAGUGGAAAAACUUGACUUUUGGGGGAGCCAAGGUCUUGUAGUGUGUUUCCAAGAUGCACUAUUUGUUGAGCCGUGAAAGGAGGCUAGGUAUGCUGAUUUGCCAGUAUAUUCUCCGCUAGCAUGAUGAGUUUGUCGUCGUCCAAGGAUAGGCUGGUGUGCUAGAUCAUGUGCCAGAGGAUGAUGAGGUAUUGUCCUAAUUCAUGCACCCCGAGGAUGCCAUGAAUGUCCUGAGCCCAACAGUUGGCAGCCAAACCUUCAGCGACAGUUCUUUGUUUGCGUCUGCGUUUGGGGAUGUCAGCCCUUUCCCAAGUGAAAUCGAAGUUGAGGCGAUGAAGAAAUCUCGUUCAUCUGCUGUGUGAACUGUAGGUCAAGGCCACUCCGAGCACGGAUGUUAUCAGUGCGGCCUAGGCAUUGCCAUCUCACGCGCAGUGCCAGGCCCGUGCUCCAGGUCCUGGACUCCCAGCCCUCCAAGUGAUGUGGCCGGCACACCCGUCACCACUUGACACAGCAGCCCCCGCCGUUGGCAUCGGCGGCUCCUUCCCAGAGGAAUCCUCUCUCGAUUUUCUCCAUCAGCCUGAUGGUCUUCUUUGGUGGCGCCAACACAAGAAGUUGGUGGAUUGGAUUGCUCCAACCACAGACUUGACAAGGGACAGCCUUCCUGGCUUCUGCAUCCGCCGAGAUUUCCAAGUUGGCAACUUUGCUGCCAUUCGGUUGACAAGGGCCGGACUGCAUUUGGGCUGCUGUUGGCCUUCUGAUUGUUAGUGGGAUUCCUAGAUAGGAGAAGGGGAGCUCGGUGACAGGGAAAUCAAUCUCACCGCACUCGAUCAAAGUUGCUAACUCUUGGCGUAGUUCACAUGUAGGCCGGAUGCUUCUUCAUAUAACUGCAAGAUCUCCUUUACCGCCAUGGCCUCCACAAUAGUUGGCUGACAGAAAAGGAUGACAUCAUUGGCACAAAGCGAGAUGGAUGGGAUCGUGUGCUGCAGGUGCAGCUGCUGUUGAACUCCCAUGAUGACAGCUCAUUGAUUCAGCCUUCCCAAAAUCCACAGCCUGGCACUGAUAGUCCACAGCCUUCCCAGAGGAAAAUUGGGGGACCUGGCUCUCCCUUGAUCAUUAUAAUCGUGCUUGCCGAAAUAGCAGCACAGCCAGCCAGUCAAUGAAUCGGUCACUGAAACCCAUAUUGCUUUAGAUUCACAAGAGCACAGCCAAGGUACUGGGUUACUUCCCUCAAAUUUGUGUAACUUUAAAAUUUUCUCAGUAGCACUGUCUUGAUAUCAAUAUAUUCUGCCAAGACGGGAGCUCCCUUGGUCCUCUCCCAAGAUAGCUAGGGCUUGCGGCACGGAACUGCCACGGCAAGCAGCGAGGGCCAUGCUUUUGAAGAGGGCGAUAGGGAGCAUCGCCUCUACCGUAGCUCUCUUGCUGUCGCCCACUUCAAAAUCAUGCCCCGGCUGGCAAUCAGGUGGCCACACCCAUCUUUCGUACACACGGCGGGCAGGCAUACCCAUCGUCGUCGCCUGCUACAACCGUUUGCCGGCUCGCCUUCUCCGGCCGUCUUCUUCUGCGGAGGCAUCCAGCUCUUAAUUUCCUUUCCUUCUCAAGUUCGCUUGGCAAGCAAGUGGAGUUUCUACUCCCUAGUCCAAGAGAUGUCAGGCUGCAUGAGCUCCUAGGUCACUUGACUAACCGCAUCCGGGAAACCUGGAGAUGACAUAUGGUUUGGGAGAUGCAACCCUGACACAUGCCAGAGGAUGUGAUGGUCAUUAACCUGGUAGUAGCAUGCUCAGAUUUGGUUGCGUCCCAGCCGUUCUAGGAUUCAAAGCAUAUAGGAGGAGGCAGUUUUGGAGGGGAACCGGGAGGAGGCACGGUGGCGAGCUGCACGUGCCACUGCAGUGAGAGGUGCUCCGUGGAUGCCACUCACACUUCUCCGAGGUCCUACCCUAUAAGGUUUAUCUGUACCUGGCUAAUUACCUCUUUCUCAUCAGAAAUAGGAUCGAUUCAUUGAGUCUGAAAUGCUUUGAUAGUUUGCCACUGGGAUUUAUGGCUUUCGCAAGAACUAUGGAUGCAUUCAUGUUGUGUUUUCUAGAGAUGGCACAAGCAAUGUCCACUCCCUAUUUGGAAGUGAUGAAGCAUGUCAGGUCGGAGAGCGGGUUGUGCUCCCCAAGCCAAUCCUUGAUUACUGUAAGCAGAUCAUGCAUGUGUUGGGAUUUUGAGAAGGAUGGAGGAUGGGAAGAGAGCUUGGCUAAUUGACAAUCUGCAUGCCCAUUUGUGAGCUUGCCUUGUACACGUGAGAAAAGCCAAUUAGAGGCUGACACGUUGAUGGUUGUGUUCCAGUAGUGCCAUAUUUUGUUGAUCCUUGCUAACCGUGUAUCAACUGCCGCGAGAGCAUUCAGCUACUAUUAUUUGAGUUGAGGCUUGUUUCCUCUUGUUUUGAAUGUUAAGCAACUAGUGGAAGUAACAUGUGUAAUAUUAGUGCCGUGAUAGUCGGCUUGUGAAUGUGCUUGUGACGACUGGAAUUUGAGACUUUGAUUAUGCUCCAGGCUGAUGAUAUUGCGAUGGAUGAGAUGGUUUGUACCGCAAGUGUGCAUGCAACAACUUCAAUUAGCUCAGAAGGAUUACUCCGUAUUAAGAAGCUUGCACUUGGCUCCUAGUACCUAGCUCUGUCCAGGUUUACUCGUGUGUCUGUUGUAAACUGGAUGAAUCAACGAGUAAAUUUUGAAUUUUUGACUACAUCCUCAAGUUGGAAAUGUAUGUUAUGAUGAAUCAUUGUUUGAGAAUUUGCUGGCAGCCAGAAUUUCUCUAGCUCUUGUUCUUAUUCUACUUUUGGUGCCUUGUGUUUCUUGUACGAGAGUGAAAAUAUGAAGGGCCACAUGAACAUGCUUGAUACUUGGGAUUUUCACAA